rnacentral:lncRNA from 1 species
AAACAUUACAGUAGAACUGAACACAUGUGCUCCUGCAAGGUAAUGUUUGCCUGCUAGGCAAGCUACCUUGGAAGAGACAGGUAUAGGUUUUCACGUAUUCAGACGUUCCUGAGUUCUGGACAUACCAUAUUUUCCAGAAUACAUUGACAAGAUAGCAUAUAGGGGCAGCAGGUAGCCUAGUGGUUAGAGUGUUGGGCCAGUAACCAAAAGGCUGCUGGAUUGAAUCCCGGAGAUGACAAGGGAUCAGGUGGCACAUGCAAUGUAAGAUCUCCAGUUUUGCAGCAUUCAAGUACAAAUACGUGACAACCACAACAUUGUGAGUGCCAAAAUGGCAAAGACCUUCUCAUAUUGAAGACAAGAUGUCGUUCAGGCCCUUCCUGUGAAGGACUUCAAAGAAAGAUGGCCAGCCCUGUUUGAGCCCACUCAGAUUAAGGAAGAGUUCAGAAGAAUUACAACUGUUGCUCUUGAGUCCACCUUUAUCCAGAAGCUGGACGAAUAUACACCAAAACUAUUGGACUUGUUUAAGUCAAAACGAGGUGCUGUAAAGUGCAACACCAUCCAGGAAAGAAGAGACAGUGUGAUCCGUGGCCUGAUCAUAUACCUUGGUGAGAGGUUUGAAGACCUUAUUACAGAAUACAAGGAUGCUAACGACGCCAUGAUCCGAGAGGACCUCGUUCAGCAUGUGAUGAAGGUGUUCACUGUGAAGGAUCUGCACCAGAAUAUAGAGCAUGUGAUCUACAAUCGAAGGAGCAGAGGUCCUGGCAGGUAUUUGCAGUGUUACAGUCAUGUAACAGGUACCCAAAAUAACUGAAAUAAGGUACCCAAAAGAACUGAAAUAUACCUUUGAGGUGUUCCAAAAAGUAUUCUUAGAACUUGAUGAUCUCAGGACCUUUCCACGGUUCCAAGCUCUAAAGAUGAAGUUACUUGUUUUCAGAGAUAUCUAUGAGAACUCUCAAAGGGCCACUCACAAACUGUGGUCUAAACCCUACUCAGUAAGCUGAUAAGCUAGUUGCUAGGUGGUAUAGGAGCUACAGUUUACAUGAUGUUCUUUUUCAAGUGAAGUCAUAAGAGACAUUGUUAAUUCCUGGUUAAAAAAACUGCUUUGUUUUAAAAGUUACUUCAUAUGCACUAGUGAAUUUCUGAGAUUAUUUGUAGUCAGGUGCAAGCUAUCUGGAUGCAACUUUACCUAAGGAGGCAAGGUGGAGUUGUACCCAGAAUGCUUAUACCUGUCAAAAUAAUAUGUCCAUAUGGGCUUCACUAGUGCAAAUGGAGUCAGGUUUAAGGGACAAUUUGGCAUAUAUUUUGUAACAAUAUGUGCAAUGUAUGUUUUGAAAAGCCAUGUUUUGAUUAAUCUAAAACAGUUUGAAUGAGGAGGUAUUUGAGCUAAAGUUCAUAUUGUGCUUUGUGUAAAGUCUAUUAAGAUAAAUCGUUAAUUUACGUUUCUGUUAAAAUAUCGCUUUGAUGUUAAGGGGCACACAGACCAGGGAAUUCUUGCUAAAAUGUACAAGAUGUGAGGUCUAAGUGCUAAUCCCAAACUAUCACCUAAACUUUAUGCAGCUGUGAAGAUCUGAAAUGAUUUGUAGUCAGGUGCAAGCUAUCUGGAUGUUAUACCCAGAAUGCUUACAGAUUACAAAAUAAUGAGCUCCACAAAUGCUUAAGGAGUAGGGUUUAAUUUGAGAUUGAAGUUUGAAGAAAACCUUUAUUCAAAAUAAAGUUGUUGAAGUUUGAAGUUGAACACUGUUGUUUCUUUUUGCAUAUUCCCUUCUAUAGAAAAAAAUAAAAAAACGUAAAUUAUCCCAAGUAUAUUGAGGUAACUAUUUGCAUCAGCUUUUUAAGUAUAGUUGUGAGUAUAUAUUUGAGUAGUAGGAACCCAAUUUAAAUACAUUUUACUAACCUGAGUACCAUAAGUAACUGAGCAAAAAACAUUUGUAGAUUAAACAUAGAAUAUAAAUUACGGUACUGAGUAAAUUCAGCAAAUGAAACUUACAAUAUUAGUUCAGUAACUGAUUACAUUAAGUAUAUCAAACGUAUAACAUUAGUUCUGGGACUUGAAGGACUUAAGCAGGUCAAAAAAAAAAACUGAUGAUCCUGAUAAAAUUAAGUUGAAUGAAAGGAAUUUUUGAGAUCCUGUUAGUUGUUUGCACUUAAAAUAUUUGAGUUUGUAAUGUACUAAAAGCGAAGUAUAUUAUACUUAAAUGAUCCUCCUUGUUGGAUUUACUUAAAAGACCGAUGCAAAUAAUGACCAAAUUUUUUGGAGGAAAAGGGGCACAAUAUUUUUUACAGUGCAAUGAUAACUCUCAUCACGAGUUCCCAUGAGAGCGAGAAAGAGAGAGACAUUUUUACACAUGCCUCCAAGCAUCCCAGUUCUCCUGAACUCAUAGCUAUCUGAACUUGGUUAUCUGGUGCAUCUAAUCCUAUUAGCACUCAC